UACGGAGGAUGCAAGCGUUAUCCGGAAUGAUUGGGCGUAAAGCGUCCGCAGGUGGCAAUGUAAGUCUGCUGUUAAAGAGUCUAGCUCAACUAGAUAAGAGCAGUGGAAACUACAUAGCUAGAGUACGUUCGGGGCAGAGGGAAUUCCUGGUGUAGCGGUGAAAUGCGUAGAGAUCAGGAAGAACACCAGUGGCGAAGGCGCUCUGCUAGGCCGUAACUGACACUGAGGCGCGAAAGCGUGGGGAGCAAACAGG
rnacentral:rRNA from 1 species